ensembl:lncRNA
GAAAACGCGUGAUUUUCGCUUAAAUGGGGGAUUCUCGAAGAGAAAACGCGUGAUUUUCGCUUAAAUGGGGAUUCUCAGAAAACGCGUGAUUUUUGCUUAAAUAGGGGAUUCUCGAAGAGAAAACGCGUGAUUUUCGCUUAAAUGGGGGAUUUCCGAAGAGAAAACGCGUGAUUUUCGCUUAAAUGGGGGAUUUCCGAAGAGAAAACGCGUGAUUUUCGCUUAAAUGGGGGAUUUGCGAAAACAAAACGCGUGAUUUUCGCUUAAAUGGGGGAUUUGCGAAGAGAAAACGCGUGAUUUUUGCUUAAAUGGGGGAUUCUCGAAGAGAAAACGCGUGAUUUUG